GCCCCGUUCGUCUAGUGGCCUAGGACGCUGGCCUCUCACGCCGGUAACACGGGUUCGAAUCCCGUACGGGGUA
rfam:Corynebacterium phocae strain M408/89/1, complete genome.